rnacentral:rRNA from 1 species
CCUAACACAUGCAAGUCGAACGCUAUUUAUAGAGUGGCGCACGGGUGAGUAACGCGUGGGAACCUGCCUUUUUCUGCGGGAUAACGGUUGGAAACGACCGCUAAUACCGCAUACGCCCUACGGGGGAAAGGUCCGCCGGGGAAAGAGGGGCCCGCGUCUGAUUAGCUAGUUGGUGGGGUAAUGGCCUACCAAGGCGACGAUCAGUAGCUGGUCUGAGAGGACGAUCAGCCACACUGGGACUGAGACACGGCCCAGACUCCUACGGGAGGCAGCAGUGGGGAAUAUUGGACAAUGGGGGCAACCCUGAUCCAGCAAUGCCGCGUGUGUGAUGAAGGCCUUAGGGUUGUAAAGCACUUUCACUGGUGAAGAUGAUGACGGUAACCAGAGAAGAAGCCCCGGCUAACUUCGUGCCAGCAGCCGCGGUAAUACGAAGGGGGCGAGCGUUGUUCGGAAUUACUGGGCGUAAAGGGCGCGUAGGCGGUCAUUUAAGUUAGGCGUGAAAUCCCCGGGCUCAACCUGGGAACUGCGCUUAAAACUGAAAGACUAGAAAACGGAAGAGGGUAGUGGAAUUCCCAGUGUAGAGGUGAAAUUCGUAGAUAUUGGGAAGAACACCAGUGGCGAAAGCGGCUACCUGGUCCGAUUUUGACGCUGAGGC